UGGGAAUAUUGCACAAUGGGCGCAAGCCUGAUGCAGCAAUGCCGCGUGAGUGAAGACGGCCUUAGGGUUGUAAAACUCUUUCGCUAGGGAAGAUAAUGACGGUACCUAGUAAAGAAGUCCCGGCUAACUCCGUGCCAGCAGCCGCGGUAAUACGGAGGGGACUAGCGUUGUUCGGAAUUACUGGGCGUAAAGAGUUCGUAGGCGGACUAGCAAGUUAGAGGUGAAAUCCCAGGGCUCAACCUUGGAACUGCCUUUAAAACUGCUAGUCUAGAGACCGGAAGAGGUUAGGGGAAUACCUAGUGUAGAGGUGAAAUUCGUAGAUAUUAGGUGGAACACCAGUGGCGAAGGCGCCUAACUGGUCCGGUACUGACGCUGAGGAACGAAAGCGUGGGGAGCAAACAGGAUUAGAUACCCUGGUAGUCCA
rnacentral:rRNA from 1 species